GUGCUCACUUCAGCAGCACAUAUGCUAAAAUUGGAAAGAUACAGAGAAGAUUAGCAUGGCCCCUGAACAAGAAUGACACACAAAUUCGUGAAGCAUUCCAUAUUUUU
rnacentral:snRNA from 1 species